rnacentral:misc_RNA from 1 species
AUAUCUCAACUUCAAGAUUUUUUCUUGAAGCUUUGGAUGUGGAGGCUUAUGCUGGUGAAAUAACUGGCUCCUCUUAAAUGCAUUAGCGGAACUUGAUGAAUCGGCUUUGGUUUGAUAAUAAAUCUAUGCCAUCGCUGAGGAGUGACCUGUCUCUGCUUCUAACUGUCCUCUGGGACUGCCUUCUGGCAAUACUUUUUAA